UCUAGAGGCUUCGGCAAUGGGGGCAACCCUGACCGAGCGACGCCGCGUGUGGGAUUGAAGGCCUUCGGGUCGUAAACCACUGUCAUUGGGAAAGAAUGCCCUGGUGGCGAACCAGGGAGGGACGGUACCCAAGAAGGAAGCCCCGGCUAACUCCGUGCCAGCAGCCGCGGUAAUACGAAGGGGGCAAGCGUUGUUCGGAUUUACUGGGCGUAAAGGGUGUGUAGGCGGCUGGGCAAGUCUGGUGUGAAAUCUUCACCGCUUAACGGGAAGAGUGCACUGGAAACUGCCUAGCUCGAGUAUGGUAGAGGCAAGCGGAAUUCCUGGUGUAGCGGUGGAAUGUGUAGAUAUCAGGAAGAACACCGGUGGCGAAGGCGGCUUGCUGGGCCAUUACUGACGCUGAGACACGAAAGCGUGGGGAGCAAACGGGAUUAGAUACCCGGUAGUCCACGCUGUAAACGGUGCGCACUAGGUGUGA
rnacentral:rRNA from 1 species